rnacentral:rRNA from 1 species
CGCCUCUUGCAAAAUCAACGAAUAAGAGGUCUCGCCUGCCCUGUGACUAUAUGUUUAACGGCCGCGGUAUUUUGACCGUGCGAAGGUAGCGCAAUCACUUGUCUUUUAAAUGGGGACCUGUAUGAAUGGCAUAACGAGGGCCUAACUGUCUCCUUUUUCAAGUCAAUGAAAUUGAUCUUCCCGUGCAGAAGCGGAAAUAGCCCCAUAAGACGAGAAGACCCUAUGGAGCUUUAGACAAAAGUAGACCAUGUUAAACACCCUCGAAUAAGAGACCAAACUUAAUGCUUGCUGCCCUAAUGUCUUUGGUUGGGGUGACCGCGGCGAAACAAAUAACCCCCGUGUAGAAAGAGAGCUCCGUCUCUCCAAAUUAAGAGCUCCCGCUCAAACAAACAGAACAUCUGACUAAAUAAGAUCCGGCAACGCCGAUCAACGGACCGAGUUACCCUAGGGAUAACAGCGCAAUCCUCUUCUAGAGCCCAUAUCGACAAGAGGGUUUACGACCUCGAUGUUGGAUCAGGACAUCCUAAUGGUGCAGCCGCUAUUAAGGGUUCGUUUGUUCAACGAUUAAAGUCCU